ACCUUUUAACUCAUCAGCAUACUAGCGUAGUGUAGCACACCACCACAUCGGUACAGCGGCAAACAAACAAACAAACGCAUUUGCAUAAGCAAUCAACGUGCGCUUGGUUCAACCGCGUGUCGAUUACACGAAUAUUAAUUGACUGUGUCGCUGUCUAAUUCGUGAAUGUCUCCACCUGUCAACUGUUGUUCUAAAACUCAACGAGAGAAUUGUAUCUGUGUCUCGAGAUGAACGAAGGCCAAAUUGACCCGAAACAAAAGCACCAGCAUCCACGGAUUGAAUGUGGUCUGUGUGGUAUGCACAUUUCGCAGAAACAUUUGGGACGACAUCGAAUUCGUCGCCAUCCAAAUUGUCCAAGCGUUGACAAGAUGACCGAUUUGACUGUGAAUCGAUCGGCUCAACCACCACAGCCGGUGUCAACAUCAAGAGGUGUGGCAUCAAAGAAUGUUACGAAGCCGAUGGAUGCUGAAAUACGACAAGCAAUUGAAGUUCAAUCGCAAAAGCCAUAUUCGGACGAGGUUUGCUUUGUCAAAGUGAGAAUGAGCGAACAGGAACUGAUCAGAUUGAUGAAUCGCGGCCGUAUUUAUCAUGCCGUUGGCAAAUUUUUUAUGUAUGAUUCAUAAAGCGAAGUAAGGUUAGGUUCAAGUCGACGGUCAUCAAUAUGCAAAUGUCAAACGCACUAACACCAUUCAAUUGUCUACACAAGCGAUUCGCGCGUUUUUUUCCCUCCAAUAACUCGUCGACCACUGUCAACGCAUUAUUUUCGUCGUGAAUUUGAACCAAACCAAUUGUAUUAUUCUCAAGCGGCAUUUGUUUCCCGUCAGAAAUCAAUCGAAAAAGUUGUGUGUGUGUCAAGUUGUUCUGCUGAUUGUGCCGCUAAUCAAGACCA